ensembl:lncRNA
CUUCAUGUCCCAAGGCCGUGGGCUGGCACUGCAGGAUGCACAUGUGUUAGUACAGUGCCGCUUUUGGGGUUGUGGCCAAAGGAGGACAAACUGUUUGGUGUUGGGUCUAUGAAGCUUUAGGAAGCCCCACAUGUGAGGUCUGGAUGACAUGUGAAGACAACAGAAAUUUGGGGCUGAAGUCAAACCAAAGAAACUUUCCUUAGCAAUAAUGAUGUGUUUCCCACAGCGAUACUGAUAUAAUGAGGGACACAUCCCCAGUGGCAGUGGUGGAAAGGAGGUGGUGCCUUUGGGAGCACUGUGCAGGGAUGAGUUGGGUUGGUCCCCAAGGAGUCUGGGAUGGGCCUGUCCCUUCCAGCUGCCCCCGGGAUCCCUGGCAUGAGCCUGGGACUGACUCAGGCUCUGACCACAGGUUCUCCAGGGGAUUCUGCAGAUGUUGCCUUUUGAAUUGCCUCUUCACCACUAUGUGGCAGCACUGGAUUUGUCCUCACGGACGCACUACCCAGAACUUGCUUUGGAUUUAUGGACGUAGUGGUGGGACCUCGGCAUCCAAAGGACUGCUGUGGCCAGGCUGCAGGGACUGGUGGCAACGUGGCCUGGUCUCACUGGAGACUGAAUGGAGCUGAGGGACGGGGUGACCAUGCAGCACACGGCCGUAGCUCCCCAUGCUCCUCCUGGCUCGUGAUGCUGAAUGGCCUCAGCUCUGCUCAGAGCUGUUGAACUGCAAGAUUAUGUGGUAUUAGCUCGGCUCUCACCUGCUCGCCUCCAUCUCGCUGCUUUCCAGAUAUCUGAGCCAUUUCUCUCUCCAAGGUUACAGGCUGCCGUGUCUUGGUGCACUCAGCCCACAGCAAAAAUAUUUCCAGGCUGCUUUGGAUGCGUGCCGGUCUGCACUGGGCGCCCACUGGUGACACUGGCACGAAUGGCGUUAAUUCUUUCUCCAUUUAAUGAGACUUUAAAUGCGGGUGUUGGUCCUAUCUCCUGUGGUAAUGCCACUAAAAUUGUUCCCAAUUUUGAAGUUUCAUUUUUCUGGCUACUUUCUGAGGCUGUGACUCAUCAACCAAUUUCUAUCCCACACUGAAUUCUGUAUAACUACUGAGUUUUGAUCCAGUUGUUAAGAAAACUCCGUUAUAACACGACAAGAAGAACUCUGAGGAGAUGGGCCACGCAGGGCACUAACUGCAAUGGGAACAGCCUUCUCAGAAAGGGAGCAGGAUAACAACUGGGUGGCUUAGGGAAAGUGCAUCCGCAGUCCUACAGCUGCUGGAAUCUCUUUGGGCUGACAGGAGCACGCAGUUGGGUGCCUUGCAGCCACUGAUGACAAAGCAGCCCUGAUUACUGCAGAGAUCCUAAAAAUCCAAGCCGCUUGCGAGGCUCGAGGUACAUCCCACAUCAGCCUUCUAAUUACCACAUUUUUGUGUGCUGCACUG